rnacentral:rRNA from 1 species
AUCUUGUGAAACUUUGUCGUGCUGGGGAUAGAGCAUUGCAAUUAUUGCUCUUCAACGAGGAAUGCCUAGUAAGCGCAAGUCAUCAGCUUGCGUUGAUUACGUCCCUGCCCUUUGUACACACCGCCCGUCGCUACUACCGAUUGAAUGGCUUAGUGAGGUCUUCGGAUCGGCUUUGAGGACCCGGCAACGGGAUCUCGUUGCUGAGAAGUCGAUCAAACUUGGUCAUUUAGAGGAAGUAAAAGUCGUAACAAGGUUUCCGUAGGUGAACCUGCGGAAGGAUCAUUAGUGAAUCUUCAAAAGUCGGCUCUGUGGAUUGUGCUGGUGGAGACACAUGUGCACGUCCGCAAGGUCGCAAACCCCACACACCUGUGCAUCUAUGACUCUGAGUGCCGCUUUGCAUGGCCUUGACCGGCCUGGCGCUCGAGUACUUUCACACACUCUUGAAUGUAACGGAAUGUCUUGUUGUGCAUAACGUACAAACAGAAACAACUUUCAACAACGGAUCUCUUGGCUCUCGCAUCGAUGAAGAACGCAGCGAAAUGCGAUAAGUAAUGUGAAUUGCAGAAUUCAGUGAAUCAUCGAAUCUUUGAACGCACCUUGCACCCUUUGGUAUUCCGAAGGGUACGCCCGUUUGAGUGUCAUUGUAAUCUCACYACCAUUGACUUUGGUCUUUUGGUAUGUGGACUUGGAUGUUGCCGUCGAUGUCUACGGCUCGUCUGAAAUGCUUCAGUGUACCCCGCUUUGCGGCGUAUUCGGUGUGAUACAUCUUCACCGGAGUUGAUCCUUUUUGGGGGUCGCGUCUGUAAUGUGUGGCUCUAUGCUUCCAACCGUCUCUCGAGACAAUCUCUGACAAUUUGACCUCAAAUCGGGUGGGACUACCCGCUGAACUUAAGCAUAUCAAUAAGCGGAGGAAAAGAAACUAACAAGGAUUCCCCUAGUAACGGCGAGUGAAGAGGGAAAAGCUCAAAUUUUGAAUCUGGUGUCUUUGACUCCCGAGUUGUAAUCUAGAGAAGUGUUUUCCGUGUCGGACCGUGCACAAGUUCCCUGGAACGGGGCGUCAUAGAGGGUGAGAAUCCCGUAUAUGGCACGGACUGCCGAUGCUUUUGUGAUACACUCUCAACGAGUCGAGUUGUUUGGGAAUGCAGCUCAAAAUGGGUGGUAAAUUCCAUCUAAAGCUAAAUAUUGGCGAGAGACCGAUAGCGAACAAGUACCGUGAGGGAAAGAUGAAAAGCACUUUGGAAAGAGAGUGAAACAGUACGUGAAAUUGUUGAAAGGGAAGCGUUUGAAGUCAGUCGUAUCUGGCGGGAUUCAGCUGGGCUUUUGCCCGGUGUACUUCUCGUCCGAUGGGUCAGCAUCAAUUUCGACCGGGGGAAAAAGAUGUGGGGAAUGUG